rnacentral:lncRNA from 1 species
UCUCUUGGUGGAUGGGUACUUUUCGUCUGUUGAGUUCAUGAAUCAGGACUAGCAGCUAGCUAGGACUGCAUCCUUGAUGAGCUGGAGUGAUAGCUGUAGGUCAUCAAGCAGCUGGUGAGGGUCAGGAAUGACGCUUUCAUCGACUGAUAGAACCAUAGUCAUCUUGUUCACAUAGCUUUGGAAAUUAAUCAUCAGUGCCUAUCAACAAGGCAAAGCAAAUCAUCAGACGAUACUUGUUUGCCAAGCCAAAGAUAACCCAUUAUUAUCUUUAUCCUAAGUUUAUUGUUAUGAAGUACUCACAUGGGGUUGGCCAUAAGAACCUGAAGCAAGAUAUGCAAUUGGAUGGCCAUAGAACCCGAUUUCUUCUUGUGGUCCAACUAUGUUGGAGACGCACAUUGUUGUCUGCGUGAUAAUUCUGUGAGAUAGGUCACUGGAUGCCUGCAGAUUGGUUCAAAGAAUAUGCAUACUUGGUCAAUUUUUAGGUUCAUCAGCAAUGGAUACUAGUAUAUCUUAAUUGCUCCUCCAUAUUAGAAAACACAUUGAGCUAGCUUUUGUAGUUGGUACAACCUUAACUCCGAAAAAUUUGAGCACCAAAUCAGCAAUGGAGAAUGUGUAAACGGCCUCAAGGGAAUUCUUCUUCCUAUCAAUGGUUGCCUUUGCUUCUCUAACAUAAUCCAGAGGAUCGUCUCGUAAUGCAAUUUUAUAGGGAAGAAGCACGAAACCAAUCCAGUUUCCCCACUUGGCUUCAGCGUCUUUCUCCAUCAUAUCUGCUAAAACCUGCAACAAUUGUUAUCAGAUUAGACAUAUAACCUGAUCAUUAAUUUUCUUUCUUUUUUUUUUCUAGAAAAGUUCACAUACUGAGAUGCAGACACUAAAUGAGAAUUAAGAUCUUUAUUUUGGGUUCACUAUCAUUAUUCCCAAUUAAGAUCACAGAUCAGUCACCUGAAUUCCUGCAGAUGGCCUCAGGUUAAUCAGGAUGGUUGACCUCAGUCGAAUAUUCUUCGGCAGGUUGUUUCUCUUCUGAGUCUCCCCCUCAUCUUUCUUACCUUCAGCUGGAAAGUGGAAUCUUUAUUACUAAUGAGCACUAAUGCCAUCUAAAUAGUCAUAUUCAUCUCUAAAGUUGUAUGGACUUACAGAUGGGUUCACUCAAAAUAUAAUGCUCAGAAAGCACAAAUUAAUGCUUACUGAGACACUAAAAUAUUUUUAUCAGCGUCUGACUUUUUUAUGGAAACAAUAAGGUGUCGUAAUCAAUGAUUAAUUAUUCAAAGAUCUGUGAAGACUUACCAUAUCUCCGAUUGAGAUACCGAGACAAACCAGCUUGCGUAAUUCCAAGUGCAACAUCGUUUAUGGUCUAUCAGAUAGAGUAAAAUCAUUUAACUAGUAGCGACUCAAAAUUUGUGACAUCCAAAUCAUUGAAAGAAAUAUUUCCAAGAAAACGUCAAAAUGAAAAACAUAGAAAAAUAAAGAAAAGAAAAUUCAAAAUAAUUAAACUACUUGCCAUGUUCAUUGCAUUUUUCACCACCUUCAUGUCGUCAAGGCUAACAAUCCUGUAAACAACUCGCCUGGGGUUUAACUCGGAACAUGGGGGAGCCUUGAUUGGAGUUUUGGUAUCUUUCAAAAACAACGCUGUAGCUCC